AGCGCCAGGGAAUUACGAGCAAUGCUUAAAACCCAAAGGAUUUGACGGUAUCCCAUCCACCUAGAGGAGCCUGUUCUAUAAUCGAUAACCCCCGCUAUACCCAACCACCCCUAGCCUAUCAUUCUGUAUACCUCCGUCGAAAGCCUACCAGGUGAAGGUGCUCAGUAAGCUUAAUGUCCUCAUCAAAAGGUCAGGUCAAGGUGCAGCUCAUGGGAUGGAAAGCAAUGGGCUACAAUUUCUAAUUUAGAACAUACGAAAUACUAGGUGAAACCCUAGUCAUGAAGGCGGAUUUAGCAGUAAAAAGAAAAUAGAGUGUUCUUUUUAACCUGGCCCUGGGAUGUGUACACACCGCCCGUCACCCUCUUCGACAAUUAUUAAUUCUGUUUCAUAACUCCCCUCCCCCCACCUUAGAAGAGGCAAGUCGUAACAUGGUAAGUGUACUGGAAAGUGCACUUGGCUAAUUU
rnacentral:rRNA from 1 species